AUCCGUUAGCCGAGUUCUGACGAGAUGAUCGCCAAUUGAGCUGAGACAGACCAGACUCUACCGGAAGCAGCAGUGGGGAUAUGACAUUGGCGCAAGCUGAUCAGCAUGCGCGUGUGUGAAGAAGCUUAUGUGUAAAGCACUUUAAGCGAGGAGGAGGCUACUCUAGUAAUACCUAGAGAUAGUGGACGUUACUCGCAGAAUAAGCACCCGGCUAACUCUGUGCCAGCAGCCGCGGUAAUACAGAGGGUGCAAGCGUUAAUCGGAUUUACUGGGCGUAAAGCGCGCGUAGGCGGCUAAUUAAGUCAAAUGUGAAAUCCCCGAGCUUAACUUGGGAAUUGCAUUCGAUACUGGUUAGCUAGAGUGUGGGAGAGGAUGGUAGAAUUCCAGGUGUAGCGGUGAAAUGCGUAGAGAUCUGGAGGAAUACCGAUGGCGAAGGCAGCCAUCUGGCCUAACACUGACGCUGAGGUGCGAAAGCAUGGGGAGCAAACAGGAUUAGAUACCCUGGUAGUCCAUGCCGUAAACGAUGUCUACUAGCCGUUGGGGCCUUUGAGGCUUUAGUGGCGCAGCUAACGCGAUAAGUAGACCGCCUGGGGAGUACGGUCGCAAGACUAAAACUCAAAUGAAUUGACGGGGGCCCGCACAAGCGGUGGAGCAUGUGGUUUAAUUCGAUGCAACGCGAAGAACCUUACCUGGCCUUGACAUAGUAAGAACUUUCCAGAGAUGGAUUGGUGCCUUCGGGAACUUACAUACAGGUGCUGCAUGGCUGUCGUCAGCUCGUGUCGUGAGAUGUUGGGUUAAGUCCCGCAACGAGCGCAACCCUUUUCCUUAUUUGCCAGCGAGUAAUGUCGGGAACUUUAAGGAUACUGCCAGUGACAAACUGGAGGAAGGCGGGGACGACGUCAAGUCAUCAUGGCCCUUACGGCCAGGGCUACACACGUGCUACAAUGGUCGGUACAAAGGGUUGCUACCUAGCGAUAGGAUGCUAAUCUCAAAAAGCCGAUCGUAGUCCGGAUUGGAGUCUGCAACUCGACUCCAUGAAGUCGGAAUCGCUAGUAAUCGCGGAUCAGAAUGCCGCGGUGAAUACGUUCCCGGGCCUUGUACACACCGCCCGUCACACCAUGGGAGUUUGUUGCACCAGAAGUAGCUAGCCUAACUGCAAAGAGGGCGGUACCCAGCGGUG
rnacentral:rRNA from 1 species